rnacentral:lncRNA from 1 species
AAGCUGAAAAAUAUGCAUGCAAUUUUUUUUACCAGGUCAACAAUAAUAAAAAUAGAAAGCAUACUUGUCAAAGAAGAAAUGUCUUUGAAAGAAAAAAGUAACGAGAUAUUUGAAAGACUUACACAAUACGUUGGGGAUUCCAGAGAACGGAAUAGGUGUGAAAGUCAGCAGUGGGGUCAAACCAGAGGUGGAAUUGUUGNNNNNNNNNNNNNNNNNNNNNNNNNNNNNNNNNNNNNNNNNNNNNNNNNNNNNNNNNNNNNNNNNNNNNNNNNNNNNNNNNNNNNNNNNNNNNNNNNNNNGAGAUCCUUGGAGAUCCAAUCAACUUUUAUUUUGUGUCAACUUAGCAAAUUGUUUUUCUUUUUUCUUUUUAAUGUUUAUUUUUUAUAGUAUCGAAUUACUUAAUUUUUUGAAUGAUAUUUAAUUAUUUAUGUCAUUAAAAUGUUUAUCAUGAGAACAUUUUAUGAUGGUAAGACGUUAGAUGAUGACAAUGAAGUUUAUAGAGAAGAUCAAAAUAAUUUUCCUUAUAGAUAUGAGAGAAAAAAAUUUUUUUAGUUGAAUAUCAUUGAUUCAAUAUCUAUUAGUUUUGAAGUUUUUUGAAGUUUGAAAUAGAGUUAAUAGAAUACUAAAUGUUUUAAAAUCUAACAUUUAUAAUUUUAAUAGAGUAAUUAUUUUUGGGAAAGGGAAAACAUUGAAUUUUUUUUUGUAAUUAUUAACCAAAUAAGGUUUCAAAGGGUUACAAACAUUAUUAUACCAUAAAAAUCAUAUUUUUUUUUUAUAAAAACAUUACUUUUAAAGUAAAGAUUAUUAAAUAUAUAGAUAAUUAUGAAUAGGAGUAAUAAUAGGGAGAUGCCUAAAAAUUAAUUUAUUCUACAAUUUAUAUGCAACUUAAAAAAAUUAAAAUCUUAAAAUAAAUAUUGUUAUUGUAUUAAUAAAUAGAUAUCCAAAAUACGAAACUAAUUCGCCUAGUGCUCAAGCCAUUCCUAACUACUAAUUUUUAUCAUUUAACAUUAUACAAUACAGCUCCUGUACCUAGGUUUGUUGAUUUAGCAACUUCUCUAAGCGGUUCUGCAUUCUACAGGGAGACCCUGGGGAAAUCGCUUUGUGUCAGUGCAGUAAUUGUAAAUCAUGUAAUUCUUUUGCACCCACUUCAGCUUGUUUUGACUUGAUGAAUCAAGCUCCUGCGAAAACCAGGCUCUGCUUCUGGACUUAGAGGAAGCGCAAGAUGAUUUUCCAUUAGACCAGAGACAAGCAUCAGCUUUGAAGUUUCUGUAAGAAGCAGUGAAGGGAGCAUGUGUCCAAUCUGUCUUAACAAGGCCACCUCUCGUAGCCCAGUCAUCAGCAUUCCAAAGAGAAGAGUAUAUUCUCAUUGGCUGAUUCUUUGGGAAUGGCACUCCAAUUGAUUCUGAGUUUUUGAAUUCUCUUAUGGGUGUGCCAUCAUCUGUGAAGCUGGAAAUUUCAAGGCAAAAACUCGUAAGUCUAUCAGAAUUGAUUAAUGCGAAGGAAAUUAGGCAAACAUAGUAGGAUUUAAGGAAAAUGCUUACACAAUGCGAUGUGGAUUCCUGAGGACGGAAUAGGUGUGGAAAGCAGCCGUGGGGUCACACCAGAGGAGAAAUUGGUGCUCUCUUUUUCUGGGGGGGGGGGGAGGUGUCGUGUGUGGAAGGAUCCCCUUCGUGGUCUUCGUAUUGGUUGAGGAAAAUGAGCUGGAGAUAGCUGGAUUUUGACACUUAAUUAUGAUAAACCUUGGACCACAUAUAUAGUCUUUCUCUUUCGCUCACCAAACACGUACAUAACCAAAGGGAGAAGGAGCUAGCAAGCCGACUCCAUAUAUUGUCACCGCCGUUCACCAAUCGUGUUGCGUAUACUUGGACCGCGUCUACAAAAAGUACUCCGAAAAAGUUAGGAUCCAUCGAUUGGGUAGAAUCGUACGAUAAUAUUUAUAGAGAGAUUUUUUUUCUUUGGUGGGACACCCUUCUAUUCGUCCACUGAUUGUGAAAUACGUAUGAGAAGAAAAUUAGAGGCACCAUUUAUAGAAAUAGCCUAAAAUUAGAUCAAUAUAUAAAAGUAGCCCACAUUUAUUAUUUUUAUAUGUAGGUUAAUUAGUAGCUAAAGAAUGGUAUUUUGAACAUAAACGUCCGUGACAGCAACUGUUGAUCGCUCACAGAUUGGACACUUGACUCCUAACGUGUUGGUUGCCUGUUGAGCUUCAUUGAUCAAGCGCUUGACGUAUGCCACGUUGACGGUUCAUGAACCAUUUGUUUAGUUCAAAAGAGUUACUUAGAGCCAUUAUGUUAGUGUGCACUCUGAAUAUUUGAGUUUAGAAUAAGUUUAUUUUAUUUCUAAAUAUUUGAAAGAAAAUCAACAUUCAUUAUAUACAUGGAGAACUUUAACACUCAACUCUUAAAAAUGAUUCAAAGGGGUGCCAACUAUCCACAAAAUGUCCAUUUUUUAUAAUUAAAAUAAGAAAAUAGUAAAUGCACUACUUUUCUAAACCGACUCUAAUUUUAGGACAUUUCUUUUUUUUUUUCUAAUAUAUUAUUACCUUAUGUACCCAACGUAUUUAUUACAGUCAAUAACGUAAUUGUAAAUUUUAGACUAAAUAUACACUAGUCAACAUUUCUUUGAAUUAUUGUACGUAUAAAGCCCGAGUAUAGACUGUCGCUGUGGGAAAAUUUCAAUUCUCACGCACCCUUUAUCCAGUGAGUUCACAGCUUCCAUGGGGCAGCAACGCCGGGGACCCAACUUCAUUAUCCUUACGAAAGUUUCUAGAGAAUAAUGACUUGAAUGGGCGAAUCAUGCACAGCACAGCCCCUCCUUUUUAAGCCGCGUCCGCCUUGGGGUAUAUUUAAAAAAAGUUUUAAUAAUUCGUGGCUGCGGCUUUAUCCUCGUGUGGGUCAAAUUUGAUUAUGUAAUCAGAGCAAGUAAAUAACUAAAAAAAGCGGCAUUUGCAACUUAAUUAUUAAUUAACUGAUGUUGCCAUUUGUCAACUUGAUUAUGUCACAAUCUACUUACCACCAUUAUUACAAGUCAAUACUGAUCCAUUAUAAAACAUUAUUUAGUAUUAGGAAAAUAAUUGUAAUUAUCGAUCACAAGUUUGAACUUUAUGUUCUUAUACGAUGAUCACCAUUUAAAUAUGAGCACGCGGGUGGCAGGUGGUCAACAACUUAGAAGCAUUCUAUAUUUCUAUUUGAUGAUCAAAACGACGUGGAAAAGGUUAAAUACAAUCCAUUGAAGAAGCACCGCGAAAUCCAGUCCUACAAUCCACAGCAUUUUUAAGUCGAUUGAAGUUGGGCCGUUUCUUUGGAAAGAAAAACGGUUGUGCUCUUUGUGAGAGCAAAGGAGAAUUGGGCCUUUAUUUGUGUAAUCUGGGCUUCAAAAUGUCAACCGAAUAUGAGAUCCUUGGAGAUCCAAUCAACUUUUAUUUUGUGUCAACUUAGCAAAUUGUUUUUCUUUUUUCUUUUUAAUGUUUAUUUUUUAUAGUAUCGAAUUACUUAAUUUUUUGAAUGAUAUUUAAUUAUUUAUGUCAUUAAAAUGUUUAUCAUGAGAACAUUUUAUGAUGGUAAGACGUUAGAUGAUGACAAUGAAGUUUAUAGAGAAGAUCAAAAUAAUUUUCCUUAUAGAUAUGAGAGAAAAAAAUUUUUUUAGUUGAAUAUCAUUGAUUCAAUAUCUAUUAGUUUUGAAGUUUUUUGAAGUUUGAAAUAGAGUUAAUAGAAUACUAAAUGUUUUAAAAUCUAACAUUUAUAAUUUUAAUAGAGUAAUUAUUUUUGGGAAAGGGAAAACAUUGAAUUUUUUUUUGUAAUUAUUAACCAAAUAAGGUUUCAAAGGGUUACAAACAUUAUUAUACCAUAAAAAUCAUAUUUUUUUUUUAUAAAAACAUUACUUUUAAAGUAAAGAUUAUUAAAUAUAUAGAUAAUUAUGAAUAGGAGUAAUAAUAGGGAGAUGCCUAAAAAUUAAUUUAUUCUACAAUUUAUAUGCAACUUAAAAAAAUUAAAAUCUUAAAAUAAAUAUUGUUAUUGUAUUAAUAAAUAGAUAUCCAAAAUACGAAACUAAUUCGCCUAGUGCUCAAGCCAUUCCUAACUACUAAUUUUUAUCAUUUAACAUUAUACAAUACAGCUCCUGUACCUAGGCACUAAAGUUUUUGAAACAGCCAGCUUUAAUGGACGGCGCAUUCUUUGGGAAAGCCCUGGGGAAAUCGCUUGGUGUCAGUGCAGUAAUUGUAAAUCAUGUGAUUCUUCUGCACCCAGUAAAGCCUCCGUUGGUUUGUGGAAUCCAUUUGUUGCAAGAGCCAGGCACGGCUACCAUCAGCCUUGAAGUUUCUGUAAGAAGCAGUGAAAGGAGCUUGGCUCCAAUCCGUCUUGAUUAGCCCACCUCUUGUAGCCCAGUCAUCAGCAUUCCAAAGAGAUGAGUAUACUCUCAUUGGCAGAUUCUUUGGGAAUGGAACGCCUAUAGCCUCCAGGUUUUUGAACUCUCUAAUUGGGAUACCAUCAACAGAGAAGCUGAAAAAAUGCAAUUAAUUGAACAACACAAGUCAAUAAAAUUGUAGAAGCGAAUGACAUACUAAUAAGAGAGAAAUGGACUUUACACAAUGCGUUGAGGAUUCCAGAGAACUGAAUAAGUGUGAAAGUUGACUGUGGGGUCAAACCAGAGGUGAAAUUGCUGCUCUCUAUCACCCUUGCCUUGGCUGUACACAUUUGUGUGAACUGUGUACGGCUGACCGCUCAGGUUUCCCAAGAAUUCAAAGUCUAUCUCAUCCCAUGUUGGUCCUUGUGAGCGUAGCUACAACCUCGCUCAAAGACUCUCAUAAUUAUUAUUAAUAAACGUCGUGCAAAGAAAUCAAUGAAACAGCAGGUGUCGAUAAAAAGAAAAGCUUACAUAAUAAGCAGUGACUGUGCCAGCAGAGUUUCGAGGGACAAGCUUGAGUUGCAUAUCAAUCUUGCCGAAUAAGUAUUGUUUCUUGGACUGGAAGCCUGAGCCAGAGUAACGGUCGAGAGUGAGAGUAAGCAGCUGGCCGUUGUUGAAUAUUUUCCCAUGACCAUCUCCCCAUGUGAUAUCAAAUUCCUCAUUGAAAUUACCAGCAGAAACAGCAGCUAAACACCCAACAAAAAUACACAUCAUCAUCCCAAACGAAUCAGAACCCAUAUCUUUCAGGAUUUUGGGAACUGGAGCUCGCUAUACUGAAUAGUGCAUAAAUUAUUACUAGUUUUGCAUGGAUGUAAUGUAAUAUUAUAUAGGGGAUUGGAGUAUAGAAAUGGACAAAAGAAGAGUGAAGAAGAGGGUGCGUUUGGAUGGUUGUUUCAUGUUUGCCGUUUCUGAAAGUGCAAAGUUGUCAACAGCUGGCUGUGCCAUGAAUUGAAAGAGAGGAAAAUUUGGCUGUUUCUCAUUUGCAGACAGAUUAUGUGACAUGGCCCCAAAUUCCAAAUGGGGUUCGGUGCCCGCAUGCAUGCCCACUUGAUCUUGAAUUGUGAUCAUGAUUAUCCGGUACUCGCACAUAUCUAUGUAGACACCGGUUUAGGUUGUACUUUUGCUUCUGCCGAUUCCACCACCAUGGUCCCUGGGGCUCAAUCCCGCGUCAAAUUCUUUCAAGCAUUUGACAGACGGUCGGUUAGUCAUUGUCGUACUUGUUAACAGGAUCAGGUCAAGGAACUGGGGUCCAUUAGAUGACUAUGAUACAAAAGACCAGCUGGUGAUAUAUCAUCUAAAACAUUGUUACUCAAAUACAAUCUAUCCUUAAAAACAAACCAGAAUAUCAUCCUUUUAUUGAAAUUAAUGCUGUUAAAUACAUUGUUUCCCACUUUCCAUUAACUACCUCAAGAGUCGGGGAACAGAUUAUGUUGUAUUGUAUUCUUUCUCUUUGUUUGUACUUUUUAAUUUUCUUACAACAGUAAGCUGAGAUACAGAGCUUUGAUUCUUUAUUAAAAAAAGGGAGAGAAACCAGGAUGCUUUCUUAAUAAACAAGUCUUUGAGACAAAUUAGGACAUUGUUGGUGCAUGCUUUGGGUUCAAUGAUUAGUUAAUUACGUAUUAUAACUCGUCUUUCUUAACACUUGGUGACAUGUUUCCCGUGAGCAGUAUCACAACCGUAUAAAUUUUCAAUGUAGCAUACAAUUUCCCCAUGCAUGGGCGGCUACAUGUGACUUGGAUAAAAGCCAUGACGAAAUGAGAUUAUGGAUUGUCUGCAUGAGUUAGGAAAGAAAAUUCUCAAGGUAAUUGAAACUGAACAAAAUCUGAAUAUUGUUCGAUUUAAGGAAAAUAAUCAACUUUGUUAAAUUUUGUGCAGUUAUCCUUAGAAGAAGUUUGGGAUAGCCAAAAGCCCAUUUCAUUUGGGCCGAGCAGGCACCUGAGGGGCCCUUAAUAUCAAUUCCUACCUAUUUCUUCUUGAUAAUUGGCAUGUAUAAUAAUAUAUUAUAUUACUUUGCAGAACAAUUAUCAAAUGAUGAGGAUGGCAACCGAAGUCCAAAAUGAAAAAAUAAAAAGACACAUAAAUUUUAAUGCAACCAUCCUACAUCAUUCAUUAUUCAAAGACUAUUAUUUAGAUGCAUCAAGUGGGAAGCAAUAUUCUUCUGUUACAUGAUUGAUGGCAAUCAACAAACCCUAUUGAGAAAAGAAGUAGAAGAAAGAAUUGAAAGGGGAAUUUCUAAACAUUGAAUGGAUUAGAAAAAUUCAUCAUCCUAAUUUUUGUUGGUGAGGGUGCAUUCUUGGGGGAGGCCCUGAGGGAACCGACUUGUGUCUGUGCAAUAAUUGUAAACCAUGUAAUUUUGCUGCACCCAUUUUAGCUUCCUUUGGCUUGAAAAAUCAAGCUCCUGUGAAAACCAUGUAUUUUUAGUUGUGGAAUUUGAGCUGCAAGAAGAUAUUCCAUUGGACCAAACACAAGCUUUUGCAUUGAAGUUUCUGAAGGAAGCAAUGAAGGGAGCCUGAGACCAGUCUGUUUUCACCAGUCCUCCUUUUGUAGCCCAGUCAUCGGCAUUCCACAGGCUAGCAUACGUUCUCAUUGAUUGUUUUUUCGGAUACGGAAUGCCGAAUGAUUCAAGAUUCUUGAAUUCUCUGAUGGGUCUACCAUCGAUAUAGAAGCUGAACAAAAAGAAAAUGUAAUUAAAAGUUAAUGGGAGCUUGAUAAAAUUAAAUCCAGGUUUUGAAUUUCGCUCACAUCAGGGUUGUGUAUGUGCUUACACAAUGUGACUAGGAUUCCAGAGGAUUGAAUAGGUGUGAAAAUCGGCGGUGGGAUCAAACCAGAGGUAGAAUUGUUGCUCUCUGUCACCUUUCCCUUGUGUGUAGACAUUAGUAUGAACAAUGUAAGGGUUGCC